rnacentral:rRNA from 1 species
UAACACGUAGGGAACCUGCCCGCGCACCGGGAAUACGCUCUGGAAACGGAGAACAAAUCCCGAUGUACAGGAAGGAGGCAUCUUCUUUCUGUGAAACAUCCUUUCGGGGAUGGGGCGCGGAUGGACCUGCGGUGCAUUAGUUGGUUGGCGGGGUAAAGGCCCACCAAGACGAUGAUGCAUAGCCGGCCUGAGAGGGCGGACGGCCACAUUGGGACUGAGACACGGCCCAGACUCCUGCGGGAGGCAGCAGUAGGGAAUUUUCGUCAAUGGGCGCAAGCCUGAACGAGCGAUGCCGCGUGAGUGAAGAAGGCCUUCGGGUCGUAAAGCUCUGUUGCGGGGGAAAAAAGGCAGCAUCAGGAAAUGGGUGCUGACUGAUGGUGCCCCGCCAGAAAGUCACGGCUAACUACGUGCCAGCAGCCGCGGUAAUACGUAGGUGGCGAGCGUUAUCCGGAAUGAUUGGGCGUAAAGGGUGCGCAGGCGGUCCUGCAAGUCUGGAGUGAAACGCAUGAGCUCAACUCAUGCAUGGCUUUGGAAACUGGAGGACUGGAGAGCAGGAGAGGGCGGUGGAACUCCAUGUGUAGCGGUAAAAUGCGUAGAUAUAUGGAAGAACACCAGUGGCGAAGGCGGCCGCCUGGCCUGUUGCUGACGCUGAGGCACGAAAGCGUGAGGAGCAAAUAGGAUUAGAUACCCUAGUAGUCCACGCCGUAAACGAUGAGGACCAAGUGU